CGCUUCUGUGGAGCAUUCGACCGCUGUUACCUGUCUUCUGCACGUGAGGACGCUUUUAAGGGCACGUCUGUAUGAGGACAGCCUCCAGCAGUAAAUAAACGGAUCCAACGCGAACUUUAACAGCAAAACAUUACCUGCUGUUGAUGGAGUCCAGUAAGCGUCGAUAUAAUGAGUUACAGUCGAAGGAAGCGUAAAGAGCACGAUAAACACUACUAAAGCAAGCGUCACUACAGUCAAUUGGCGCUCGCUGCGUCGUCGGCGUCUUCGGCUCGCCCUCGGAUGAUGUUCCGAAGUGCUUUGCUCGGAAUAAACCUUCGUGGCGUGUCGAUGAAAUGCCGUGUACAGACAAAUGUACGCUACAAGAAGCAUUACCAAGCAUCCAGUAGUGUUCACCCAAAGAUCCAUCUUACUGACCACGUGAUUUGGUACGCCCAUAACCGGAAGUAAGGCGAAAAGGAGCGCGUAAAACCACGCGCAUAUCACCCCUGUGACAGCUCGUUUGGUACUAACCAAAGAGCGGUGCUUGUGGGGCAUUUUGACAGCUAUGUAUUGACUCCACGUGAGCAGUAAUAGGACACCGUACGACGCAUUCAUUGUCACAUACGACACCAGUAGACAUCCUUGGUAGAGCGAGCCAUAAAGCGUUGUGCCUUUAAUGGGAAGCCUGAGAUAGCUAGCGAACUUAACGAAGGCGUAGAUGGGGCCAACUAUGAGACCAGUCAGAAAGUCCGCCACACACAAUCCAAGGAUGAAAACGGUUGAGGGAAUGCGGAAUGUACGGAAUGGGUCUCGCCAUAUUGCCAAGAUUAGAAGUCCAUUCCCCAGGAGUGUGACGAGUGAAAUGAUGGAUACAAAAAUCCCUGAGCCGAAUGUGAUGAGUUCGAGUUGGCCCCACAGAUCGUUAAGAGCCUGGGGAGGAGUACUUGAUGGGACUGCUGUGGUAGCGUUGCCAGGCAACCCAAACUCAUGCUGGAAGUCCAUAGUGUUAGCAGCUUUGGACUUGGAAAUGCGAAAGUAGACACCUUAUACAAAGUUUACUUUUUAGCUACCAAGAUUUCGAUAAUAUAAGGUUCUUGAUGCUGUACCACUUAUCGACGAGCCCGAAGUUCUUGAAGAUUUAGAUUCAAGCUUAACAGCAAAUAUCUUAUUAGAUCGUAGCGGGAGUUUUGUAUGAAAUGACUUGUCGACAACAGACUGAGUAGCUCAGUUCAGUGAGUAGUAGAUAUCCCUCUUUCCUGCAGACCCCAGAUGCAGUAUGUUUAUGCUUUCCGCAAUAUAAAAAUAGCUAAAAGCAACCUGAUAUCACCCUUGUAAACACCCUUGUUCCGGUCUUCCGUGUCAAUGCUUCAUUGUUAAGUCCAAAGUUAUAUUUAAAUACAGUUGUCAAACGUUCC